rnacentral:lncRNA from 1 species
UAGGGUAUGGAGGGGCAAGCAACAGAGAGAAUGACCUGGCUCCCUGUGGAUGUUAGGUGGAGUCAGGGGUAUUUGGAAGAGCCCAGAUGAGGGGUCAGAGAACUGCUUCUGGUCCUGUGGAGAAAUAAAUGCAAGCCAGGAACUGUCUUCCUCUCUUUUUUUCUUGGGUUCCUAGCCCAUGAGAUUGGGUUUUCCCUAGACACACUGAGCCUAGGAUUUGGGGCUCCCAGUGAAUCCAGAGCUUCCCACUGGUGUGCAUGGCACCCUUCUCACGGACCUCAAGGCACAGCAGUGCUGAACCACAGGCCGAAGGCUUUUAUCACCCGUAGCCGGAGCCACGGUCGAGGCAGGAGGAGUCAGCAACUGACACCAGAUCCAAAGACCAACAUCUCAACUUCAGUUUCAGGCAGCUUCUCCAGGAGUGACUCCUGCUCUGGUGCGAUAGAAGUUAUGGAUGCUGGAGACAGUCAUGGCCUUGAGGAUUAUGGGCAGGUGUCCCAUGCUUUGGUGUGGAAGGAUGGACUGCCUGUCUUUUGUGUGAGGUUGGAUGAUGAGCAUAUCAGCAGCAAUCAUGGAACCAGAGACUCUUCUUUCUUUUGGUGGGAGCCACAGAAGUACCCUGAAUUCAUGUUCAGUUCUAGGGAGAAGCAUAACCAUCUGCAAAUGGCUGAGAUAGAAUAUUUUCCCCACGAAGUGACUGGAAGUUCAGAACCAGGUUAAUUAGACUUAUAGAGAUAAUAGAUUUUGUACCUAUGAGUUUGUGGAGAAAAAUCCACACACCUGAUAACUAACACCAGCGUGUCUGAAACUAUCUGAGUCUAGAACACCUGCAUUAUGAACUGACCUAUAGAUGCAGAGAGCAGAACUGACUAGACAGAGUAGAACUGAAAGACUGCUGGCUGUCUGAAAUGAAGAAGGAGGGGCUUCUUCCAACCCUUUGAGGAGUCAGUCCCCCGAGUGUAGCUCAUCUGCAUACAUAUCCACCAAAUUAAUAUUUUUUUAAUCACACUCAAAACUGAUCACCUCUCAGAUGUACUGGAUUUUGGCAAUUUGUCUGUGGUUUCAUCAUAAUACUAUAGCUCACUGUGUUGUGAUCACUUUGUAAUUCCCAGAUAAACAUUCUUAGAAGGGAACGUGAAUCUGUUCCUAGUUGACAAAGUUGUCCAUAUGCUGCCACUGCAAAGUUUUAUGACAAAGCUGUCCUUAGGAGCUUUAUUAGAUAAGUUCUUAUUCUUUUGGGUAUUUAUUGCUGUACUACUCAGGACAGGCUUUGCUAUGAUGUAAUAAUAUGCAACUCCAUAUUCUUAGUGGUUUGAAACAACAUGUUUCUUACAUGACUUAGAAAGGAAGGAAGUUCUGAUACAUGCUACAACAUGGAUGGACCUUGAGGACAUUAUGAUAAGUGAAAAAAACCAAUCACAAAAUGCUAUAUGAUUUCACUUAUAUGAGGUACUUAGAGUAAUCAGAU